rnacentral:rRNA from 1 species
GACGAACGCUGGCGGCACGCCUAACACAUGCAAGUCGAACGGACUUAAAAGAGCUUGCUUUUUUAAGUUAGUGGCGGACGGGUGAGUAACACGUGAGCAACCUGCCUCUGAGAGGGGGAUAGCUUCUGGAAACGGAUGGUAAUACCCCAUAAAAUAUAAAUAUCGCAUGAUAGAUAUAUCAAAGAAAUUCGCUCAGAGAUGGGCUCGCGUCUGAUUAGAUAGUUGGUGAGGUAACGGCUCACCAAGUCGACGAUCAGUAGCCGGACUGAGAGGUUGAACGGCCACAUUGGGACUGAGACACGGCCCAGACUCCUACGGGAAGCAGCAGUGGGGAAUAUCGCACAAUGGAGGGAACUCUGAUGCAGCGAUGCCGCGUGGAGGAAGAAGGUUUUCGGAUUGUAAACUCCUUUUAUCAGGGACGAUAAUGACGGUACCUGAAGAAAAAGCUCCGGCUAACUACGUG